GCGCAGCAGGCGCGAAAACUUCGCAAUGCGCGAAAGCGCGACGAGGGGAUUCCAAGUGCAUGCACUAAGUGUAUGCUUUUCGUGAGUUUAAAACGCUCACGGAAUAAGGGCUGGGUAAGACUGGUGCCAGCCGCCGCGGUAAUACCAGCGGCCCUAGUGGUGAUCGUUAUUAUUGGGCCUAAAGCGUCCGUAGCCGGUCCGGUAAAUCUCUGGGUAAAUCGUUGGGCUUAACUCAGCGAAUUCUGGGGAGACUGCUGGACUUGGGACCGGGAGAGGUCGGAGGUACUCCAGGGGUAGGGGUGAAAUCCUGUAAUCCUUGGGGGACCACCGGUGGCGAAGGCGUCCGACCAGAACGGGUCCGACGGUAAGGGACGAAGCCCUGGGGCGCGAACCGGGAUUAGAUACCCCUGUAGU
rnacentral:rRNA from 1 species